UACAGGGGGUGCAAACGUUGCUCGGAAUUACUGGGCGUAAAGGGCGCGUAGGCGGAUAUCUAAGUUGGGGGUGAAAUCCCGGGGCUCAACCUCGGAAUUGCCUUCAAAACUGGAUAUCUUGAGUUCGGGAGAGGUGAGUGGAACUCCGAGUGUAGAGGUGAAAUUCGUAGAUAUUCGGAAGAACACCAGUGGCGAAGGCGACUCACUGGCCCGAUACUGACGUUGAGGUGCGAAAGCGUGGGGAGCAAACAGG
rnacentral:rRNA from 1 species